GACGAACGCUGGCGGCGUGCUUAACACAUGCAAGUCGAACGGAAAGGCCUUUUCGGAGGUACACGAGUGGCGAACGGGUGAGUAACACGUGGGUGAUCUGCCCUGCACUCUGGGAUAAGCCUGGGAAACUGGGUCUAAUACCGGAUAGGACCGCACUUUAGUGUGUGUGGUGGAAAGUUUUUUCGGUGUAGGAUGAGCCCGCGGCCUAUCAGCUUGUUGGUGGGGUAAUGGCCUACCAAGGCGGCGACGGGUAGCCGGACUGAGAGGUUGGUCGGCCACAUUGGGACUGAGAUACGGCCCAGACUCCUACGGGAGGCAGCAGUGGGGAAUAUUGCACAAUGGGCGCAAGCCUGAUGCAGCGACGCCGCGUGGGGGAUGACGGCCUUCGGGUUGUAAACUCCUUUCGCCAGGGACGAAGCGUUUUGUGACGGUACCUGGAGAAGAAGCACCGGCUAACUACGUG
rnacentral:rRNA from 1 species